rnacentral:rRNA from 1 species
AAUACAUAGCCAUGCAAGGCGAACCGGGGGAACUGAAACAUCUAAGUACCCCGAGGAAAAGAAAUCAACCGAGAUUCCCCCAGUAGCGGCGAGCGAACGGGGAGGAGCCCAGAACCUGAAUCAGCGUAUGUGUUAGUGGAAGCGUCUGGAAAGUCGCACGGUACAGGGUGAUAGUCCCGUACACAAAAAUGCAUAUGUUGUGAGUUCGAUGAGUAGGGCGGGACACGUGACAUCCUGUCUGAAUAUGGGGGGACCAUCCUCCAAGGCUAAAUACUCCUGACUGACCGAUAGUGAACCAGUACCGUGAGGGAAAGGCGAAAAGAACCCCGGCGAGGGGAGUGAAAUAGAACCUGAAACCGUGUACGUACAAGCAGUGGGAGCACCUUCGUGGUGUGACUGCGUACCUUUUGUAUAAUGGGUCAGCGACUUAUAUUUUGUAGCAAGGUUAACCGAAUAGGGGAGCCGUAGGGAAACCGAGUCUUAACUGGGCGAAUAGUUGCAAGGUAUAGACCCGAAACCCGGUGAUCUAGCCAUGGGCAGGUUGAAGGUUGGGUAACACUAACUGGAGGACCGAACCGACUAAUGUUGAAAAAUUAGCGGAUGACUUGUGGCUGGGGGUGAAAGGCCAAUCAAACCGGGAGAUAGCUGGUUCUCCCCGAAAGCUAUUUAGGUAGCGCCUCGUGAACUCAUCUUCGGGGGUAGAGCACUGUUUCGGCUAGGGGGUCAUCCCGACUUACCAAACCGAUGCAAACUCCGAAUACCGAAGAAUGUUAUCACGGGAGACACACGGCGGGUGCUAACGUCCGUCGUGAAGAGGGAAACAACCCAGACCGCCAGCUAAGGUCCCAAAGUCAUGGUUAAGUGGGAAACGAUGUGGGAAGGCAUAGACAGCCAGGAUGUUGGCUUAGAAGCAGCCAUCAUUUAAAGAAAGCGUAAUAGCUCACUGGUCGAGUCGGCCUGCGCGGAAGAUGUAACGGGGCUAAACCAUG